CAAUACGCAGCUGCAUGCUUUCAGGUGCAUAGUCGGACGUAACAAUGUCACGCGUGCUAGGGCCGCUCGUACCUACCUGGCACAUAGGCCGUUUAUAAAAUAAUCGACUUUGUUACAUUAAGCCAAGUGCCGUAUACUCGCCGAAAACGGUAUCCAUUAUCAUCUCGUGAGUUGGGGUGUUAUACGUCCUCUAUAGUUGCGAGAGCUAUGGAUGAGUUCAUCCGACCACGGCAAUGACAUCCCAUCUAUCCAUCUACAGUCUAUCGAAGCCGUAAUGUGUCCUAGCACGCCUAAAUGGAUCGGAUCACCUAUCUAGAGCCAGGCCUUGUCGCCCUUCUGGAAAACGUCCAUGCGCCACUCAGAUGACUCCGAUGGGAGUACUAAAUCAAAAGGUAUACAACGUUGAGCGCUUUUAUCCAUUCCAAAUUCACUGUGGGUUGCACUCAACACUGGGCUGUUUUUUCGCGAAGCUCGAUUUUGCCUUCAGGGUUAGCUGCGAGCAAUGGCAUAGACCUUCAAGAUGCCCCGAAGCUAAACAUAUCCUAUUGGAUUCUAAGCCGCCAGGUUUGUCGAAUAAAAAGCCUUCCGGUAGCUUACGCUCAUAUUUUCAGGUUCACCUCCUCUAGAGGACUGUAGAUGCUGAACGGGGUCCGUUUCUUGCAUCCGUAAUGCUGUCAGACCGCCAAACCCUAUAAGGCCGAUUUUCGCGAUUCCCUGAUGCCACCAGUCGUCCCAACGCAGGCGUCUUCCAUAUUAUAGUUGUCCAUGAUAUCGACUGGCUUGCAGCUAGCCAGCAACAGAAUGCUAGUCACCACCAUCUACCUGCGCCACCAUCUUAUCGCGUGUGUGUAUUAGCAUAGGCACCAGGGAACUUUGUCCACACCAACAACGUACGACGGGCUGAGUCAACGGUACAACGCUGACACAAGCACUGCCGAGAUGAGGGUUCAGGUCUCGUUGGACGUACUUGCGAGUUACCUAUUGUCAACACCACAGCGAAUUGCCAUUGUUGAUUGCCAAAUUUUAUCACGAUACCAAUAUCGAUAACAAUAAGCACCGUUAACUCUCACUAGCUAGCA
rnacentral:lncRNA from 1 species